rnacentral:rRNA from 1 species
UACGUAGGGAGCAAGCGUUGUCCGGAAUCAUUGGGCGUAAAGCGCGCGUAGGCGGCCCUGUAAGUCCGUUGUGAAAGUCAAAGGCUCAACCUUUGAAAGCCCGAUGGAUACUGCAGGGCUAGAGUCCGGAAGAGGCGAGUGGAAUUCCUGGUGUAGCGGUGGAAAUGCGCAGAUAUCAGGAGGAACACCAAUAGCGAAGGCAGC